rnacentral:misc_RNA from 1 species
UUUUUUUUUUUUUUAAUUUAUUUUGGCUUCCAAUUAGUAUUCGAACUUGAGAAACUACAACACUAGAGACGAUUUUUGUGCCAUCAAACUCAUAAUUAUUUUUCUUUCUAACGUGACCAUGUGAGCUUUUUAUGCGUGCCUAUGGCUACAUCCUCCAUUAUAUGAGCUUGCCUUCUUAGCUGGAUAUAAUGCAAACUUAAUAGCAAGUAUGCUGAUGUAUAAAUUUUUCUUGAAAUAAAAUUUUUUGUUGUAAA